AUGUACACGACGGAGCGCAGGCGGAUGAGCCUGCACGAGCUGAGGAGGAAGGACCCGGUGCGGGUGUCAGCUGGAAGUUUGUGGCAGGACUCUCUGGCCAUGGAGCUGAGCGGCAGCGGCUCGGGUAAACAGAUCGUGUCCCCGCGGAGCCGCACCAGAGCCGUGUCCGUGGCGUACCUGGUGAACGAGGACGCGUCGGUGCCGCAGACCGAGGAGAACCUGUCCCUGAAGUGCGUGAAGGAAGCCUGCGCGGACGCGCACGCCGUUUUCCAAACCAUCUCGUUUGAGAGAAUAUCCCUGGGCACCACAGACAUCCUGGAUAGUUUCUACAACGCAGACGUAGCAGUGGUGGAGAUGAGCGACUCUUUCUGCCAGCCUUCCCUCUUCUAUCACCUCGGAGUGAGAGAAAGUUUCAGCAUGACCAAUAACAUCAUCCUGUACUGUUACAAGCAAGACAGUGACCUGCAGGCGGUCAAGGAACAGUGUGGGACGUACACAUUCAUCCCCUACGUGGUGUCGCCUCAGGGCAAAGUGUUUGCCUGCGAUGCCACAAUGAUGACGGGUCUCAAAGACCUGAUGCAGCCCAGCUUCCAGCUGGAGCCCCUGCUGACCCCGCUGGUGGAGACGCUGGUGUAUCUGCUGAACAACGUGCACAUUCAGUCCAGCGAGUACUUCCGGGAGUCAAUCAGACAUGAGAUCCGGAUGGCUCGGGAGCGUUUCAGCGGCAAAGACCUGAGCCAGGAGCUGAGCCGCAUCCAGCAGCGUCUGGACACUGUGGAGCUGCUCACCCCGGAUAUAGUCAUGAACCUGCUGCUGUCCUACAGGGACAUUCAGGACUACGAUUCCAUAAUCAAACUGGUGGAGACGCUGAACAACCUGCCCAUGUGUCUGGUGGCGAGACAUCAGAAUAUCACGUUUCAUUAUAUAUUUGCUCUAAACAGGAGGAAUCGCCCUGGAGAUCGCAACAAUGCUUUGGAGUUAAUUCUGCCCAUUGUGGAGUCGGGAGGGAAGGUGGCGUCAGACGUCUUCUGCCUGUGCGGCCGGAUCUACAAAGACAUGUUCAUGAGCUCCGGGUUCACCGAUGAGCGCAGCAGGGACCAGGCCUGUUACUGGUAUGGAAAAGCUUUUGAGACGGAGCCGACUCUUCACUCGGGCAUCAACAACGUGGUGCUCCUGAUGGCAGCCGGCCACGAGUUUGAAACUUCCAUCGAGCUGCGCAAAAUUGGUGUGACUCUGAGCACCCUGCUGGGUAGAAAGGGCAGUCUGGAGAAGAUGAAGGCCUACUGGGAUGUCGGCUUCUACCUCGGAGCGAACAUCCUCGCCAACGAGCACAGGAAAGUCAUCGAGGCCUCUGAGAAACUCUACAGACUCAAAGCUCCUAUCUGGUACGUGGCAUCCAUUAUGGAGACGUUCAUCCUGUACCGUCAGUUUGCCAAGCCUCCCGAGGUGAGAGCUCCUAAGCAGGACACCCUGGACUUCUGGAUGGAGCUGCUCCUGCAGGCCUGUAAACCCACCAACUCCACAGCCCGCUGCCCAGUUCUCAUUCUGGAGCCCAGUAAACUCCUCCAGCCGGCUAUCAUGUGUGUGAGUGAGGAGGAUGAAAGUCGCACUGUCCAGUUGAAACAUGUCACCAACUUUAAGAAAGGCUUACACCAGUGGACUUUCCCAGCCUCUGCAAUCCGGGGAGUGAGUGCUUCAAAGAUUGAUGAGCGGAGCUGCUUCCUGUACGUCCACUACAACUCUGAUGACUUCCAGCUCUGCUUCCCCUCCGAGCUCCACUGUAAAGGGUUCUGUGAGCUGGUCAACUCUCUGCUCCAGCAGGCUAAAGAGCCGACCCCAGACCUGGACCAUCUGACCGGGGAAAUACUAGAGUACAUCUACGAGACCAAUGAGAACGGCGACAAGGUGGUUCUGGGAAAAGGAACGUACGGCGUGGUGUACGCUGGGAGGGACCUGAGCAACCAAGUCCGCAUCGCCAUCAAGGAAAUCCCAGAGAAGGACAGCACGUACUCGCAGCCCCUCCAUGAGGAAAUCGCUCUGCACAAGAGGCUUAAACACAGAAAUAUUGUCCAGUACCUGGGCUCCGUCAGUCAGGAUGGAUUCAUCAAGAUCUUCAUGGAGGAAGUACCCGGAGGAAGUUUGUCGUCCCUCCUGCGCUCCAAAUGGGGUCCUCUGAAAGACAACGAGGCCACCAUCAUCUUCUACACCAAACAGAUCCUCGAGGGGCUCAAAUACCUGCACGAAAAUCAGAUAGUCCACAGAGACAUUAAGGGUGACAAUGUAUUGAUCAACACCUACAGCGGAGUGUUGAAGAUCUCCGACUUCGGGACCUCCAAGCGAUUAGCAGGAAUCAACCCCUGCACCGAGACGUUCGCUGGAACGCUGCAGUACAUGGCCCCGGAGAUCAUAGACCAGGGGCCUCGGGGUUAUGGGAAGCCGGCUGAUAUCUGGUCUCUUGGGUGCACGAUUAUAGAGAUGGCAACAGGCAAAACACCGUUCCACGAGCUGGGAAGUCCUCAGGCAGCCAUGUUCAAGGUGGGCAUGUUCAAGAUCCACCCCAAGGUUCCUGAGUGCAUGUCCGACACGGCGAAGUGCUUCAUCAUGAACUGUUUCACGCCGAACCCGGACGACAGAGCCACGGCGGCAGAGCUGCUGGUGGACCCCUUCCUCAAGUUGUCCCCCAGGAAGAAGGCCAGGGCUCAGCAGGAAACUGAAUCGAAAGACCUCCUUAGUGCAGCCGACUAUCAGCGCAGCCUGUCAGUGCCCAUCUCCAUCCUCGUGGAGGACACCGAUUCCUACUCGGGCUCGAUCGACCUGUCCUGUUCCCUUGACCUCAGGAGGCAGCAGUCAGCCUUCCGAGCAGAUGAAAUCUCAGAGAGCCCACCCAGCACCAGCUUCCUGCCAUUACCAGAGGACUCCCCCUCAGAGAUGUGCAGCCCGGCCUCAACAGAGGAGAAUAUUGGACUCUUUAUGCUGAGGAAGGACAGUGAACGGAGGGCGACGCUGCACCGGGUCCUCACCGACUACAUCAGUCUCGUCGUGUUCAAUAUACAGGAAUCUGUGCCUCAGCACGGCGAGGGAUCGUCACUAACUGCAGACCACAUCAAUAAGCUCAUUAGCUGCUUGAGAGAAAACAUCCGCUCGCCGGACAGGAAGCAGCUGACCAGUAGCCUGCUGGAGCUCCGAGCCGAACUUCUCGCCGCCGCAGUGUCACUGAACAGCCUGCAGGUGGUGCUGUUCAGCUUCCAAGAUGCAGUGAAAAAGGUGUUGAAGCAACAACAAGUGAAGCCUCACUGGAUGUUUGCUCUGGACAACCUGCUGAGACAGGCAGUCCAGGACGCCCUCACAGUGCUUUUACCAGAGCUCAAACUGCAGCUGCAGUCCUCGUUUGAGAUAGAGGACAGCACCCCUGAGGAGCAGGACGCCGACCCCGACACUCCUGACACUCCCGUAGGUCUCCUACUCUGCGACCAGCAGGCGGCGUCAGAAGACACGCUGGACAAAACGCCCAUAAACGAGAUCCCGUUUGCACCCAGCCCCAACCUCCCUGCAGACCUCGUCCUCAACCCCAACUGCCCCCUCAGCGAAAAACUAAGAGAACUACGACUAGAAACCAGAGGACUGCUGACUCAGCUGAGUGAGAAGGAGAGAGAGUACCAGGAGCUGCUGAGGAGCUCUGUCCAGAGGAAACAGGAACAGAUAGAUGCGCUGAGGAAGGCGGCAGUCGCUGAAGAUGGCGGAUUGGCUUCGCAGACAAACUCUAAUCCAGAGGUGAAGGCUUUGGUCCGCUGGCUCAAGUCUGUCCUCAUAGAUCAAGACACUAUCAAUAAGCUGCUCUCUCAUGAGUUCACCUUGGACUGUCUCCUCCACAUGGCCUCCAGGGACGACUUGAUGUACUGUGGAAUAAGAGGCGGCAUGCUGUGUCGACUCUGGGCGGCCAUCAAAACUCGAAGGAAGACCCAGCUCAGCACGCACAACGAGGACAGCGAGGACACUCUUCUUUAAUUGCUGCUGAUGUUGUACAUCAGAGGACAGAUUCAUUGACAGGCUGGUCCUGUGUUAUCUGGAGGAGAUGAUAAACAGGAACCUUAAAUCUCCCAGACUGACUCCUUAUCCGCGCACAGCCACGUGUUUGUAACAGGGAGGAAGUUUUCUAAAGGGAGUGACGUGGAGUGGAAGAGGUGAUCAACAGUCUGAAGAUUCCACACGUGUUCCCUCAUCUGUUUUCACAAUGUUGACAUCUCCGUAGAAACAGUGACAUGGGUGUGUGUGUGUGUGUGUGUGUGAGUUGAGGGUAUGUGUGUGUGUUCAUGCUUUUGCGGAGGUCUCCUGUUUGUGUUUUAGACAUCAGACUUUUGUCUGACAAAUAAUAAUGAUGAUAAUAAUAAUGGUCUCGUCCAAGUGUUAAAAAUCGGCUUUAGAGAAACAUUUCACAUGUAUAAAAAGACAUUUGUUCGUUUAUCUGCUUUGUUUCUUUUUCCAGUGUGUCGUCAUUCCCUGGUAGUCUCAGUGGUCCUGUGUGAGAUCAGAGGAUGUUCUUUAUUUUGAUAACGUCAACAGUGGCUUGUUAAAUGACAUAAGCCUGUCAGCUCCGUGCUCUGGGGUAUGACCUCACUGAGACACUGGGCCUGGCCCCUAAUAACCACGGCACUCACUAAAGAUAUUAGU